rnacentral:rRNA from 1 species
AACGUAGGAGACAAACGUUAUCCGGAGUUACUGGGCGUAAAGGGCGUGUAGGCGGCCAACUAAGUCCGACGUGAAAUCCCCAGGCUUAACCUGGGAACUGCGUCGGAUACUGGAUGGCUUGAAUUCGGGAGAGGGAUGCAGAAUUCCAGGUGUAGCGGUGAAAUGCGUAGAUAUCUGGAGGAACACCGGUGGCGAAGGCGGCAUCCUGGACCAAUUCUGACGCUGAGUGAGCGAAAGCCAGGGGAGCAAACGGG